AACCGAAUUAUGUGGGUCUCCACAUUAUAUUUCACCUGAGUUGAUAAGGUAAAAAAAAAAAAAAACACAUAAAAACGAGUAUAUAAUAUAAGUAAAAAUACAAACGCACAUACAAGCACAUCGCUUAUACAACUUUUAUAACGUCGGACAUUUAUUUUUAUUUUUAUUUUUAUUGUUUUAUAGAAAAAGAUAUACAAUGUCUUCUGAUAUUUGGGCAUUAGGAGUUAUGGUUUUUUUUAUGUUAACUGGGAGAUAUCCAUUUGAGGGGAAAAACACCCCUAAAGUUGUGGAUGAAAUAUUGAAUAAGAACAUAAACUGGAAGGAUAAAGAAUUUUCUUCAUUAUCUGUUGAGGCUGUUGACUUUUUAAAAAGACUUUUAGAAAGAAAUGAGAAAAAAAGAAUGACGGCAUAUCAAGGUAAGUACAUAUAUAUAACCUAGUUUUUGUAGCACCUUAUAGAAAUAAAAAAUAUAUAACAAAUUAUAUAUAUCCA
rnacentral:lncRNA from 1 species